GAGGCUCGAAGGCGAUCAGAUACCGCCCUAGUUCUAACCAUAAACGAUGCCAGCCAGCGAUCCGGCUGUGUUCCUCAAAUGACACGCCGGGCAGCUUCCGGGAAACCAAAGCUUUUGGGUUCCGGGGGAAGUAUGGUUGCAAAGCUUAAACUUAAAGGAAUUGACGGAAGGGCACCACAAGCCAUGGAGCAUGCGGUUCAAUUUGACUCAACACGGGAAAUCUUAUCCGGCCCGGACACAGGAAGGAUUGACAGAUUAAGAGCUCUUUCUUGAUUCUGUGAGUGGUGGUGCAUGGCCGUUCUUAGUUGGUGGAGUGAUUUGUCUGCUUAAUUGCGAUAACGAACGAGACUCUAGCCUACUAAAUAGACGUUCCGAUCCUCUUAGUCGGACGCUCUUCUUAGGGGGACAGGCGGCGACUAGCCGCACGAGACAGAGCAAUAACAGGUCUGUGAUGCCCUCAGAUGUUCGGGGCCACACGCGCGCUACAUUGAAGGAAUCAGCGUGUGCUUUCCCUGUCCGACAGGACUGGGUAACCCGUUGAACCUCCUUCGUGCUGGGGAUAGGGGCUUGCAAUUCUUCCCCUUGAACGAGGAAUGCCUAGUAAGCACGAGUCAUCAAUUCGUGUUGAUUAGGUCCCUGCCCUUUGUACACACCGCCCGUCGCUAUAAGCGAUUGAAUGGUUUAGUGAGGUCUUCGGACUGGCGCCUCCGAAUUGGCCUUCCGGUCGAGUCGACGUGCCGGAAAGAUGACCAAACUUGAUCAUUUAGAGCAUAUAAAAGUCGU
rnacentral:rRNA from 1 species